rnacentral:rRNA from 1 species
AUUGAACGCUGGCGGCAGGCCUAACACAUGCAAGUCGAGCGGAUGAAGGGAGCUUGCUCCUGGAUUCAGCGGCGGACGGGUGAGUAAUGCCUAGGAAUCUGCCUGGUAGUGGGGGAUAACGUCCGGAAACGGGCGCUAAUACCGCAUACGUCCUGAGGGAGAAAGUGGGGGAUCUUCGGACCUCACGCUAUCAGAUGAGCCUAGGUCGGAUUAGCUAGUUGGUGGGGUAAAGGCCUACCAAGGCGACGAUCCGUAACUGGUCUGAGAGGAUGAUCAGUCACACUGGAACUGAGACACGGUACAGACUCCGACGGGAGGAAGCAGUGGGGAAUAUUGGACGAUGGGCGAAAGCCUGAUCCAGCCAUGCCGCGUGUGUGAAGAAGGUCUUCGGAUUGUAAAGCACUUUAAGUUGGGAGGAAGGGCAGUAAGUUAAUACCUUGCUGUUUUGACGUUACCAACAGAAUAAGCACCGGCUAACUUCGUG